rnacentral:lncRNA from 1 species
GGGCCAUCUUGCAAUUAACCUCAACUUUUGGGCCAUAUUGCAAAUACAAAAACUUUUGGGGUCACUUUGUAUAAUACACAAAAGUCACAACUUCAUGUAAAUACAACUAGAACCCAAACUUUAAUCAAUGCAAAAACUUCAUUAAAGGAACAAAACAAUUUGUCCUUUAGCGUUUUUGGACCUAAACGUAAAAACGUAAACUUUUG